UACGUAGGGUGCGAGCGUUGUCCGGAAUUAUUGGGCGUAAAGAGCUCGUAGGCGGUCUGUCGCGUCUGCUGUGAAAACUCGGGGCUUAACCCCGGGCCUGCAGUGGGUACGGGCAGACUAGAGUGCGGUAGGGGAGACUGGAAUUCCUGGUGUAGCGGUGAAAUGCGCAGAUAUCAGGAGGAACACCGGUGGCGAAGGCGGGUCUCUGGGCCGAUACUGACGCUGAGGAGCGAAAGCGUGGGGAGCAAACAGG
rnacentral:rRNA from 1 species